rnacentral:rRNA from 1 species
GACGGGUGAGUAACGCGUGGGUAACCUGCCUUAUACAGGGGGAUAACAGUCAGAAAUGGCUGCUAAUACCGCAUAAGCGCACAGAGCUGCAUGGCUCAGUGUGAAAAACUCCGGUGGUAUAAGAUGGACCCGCGUUGGAUUAGCUAGUUGGUGGGGUAACGGCCCACCAAGGCGACGAUCCAUAGCCGGCCUGAGAGGGUGAACGGCCACAUUGGGACUGAGACACGGCCCAGACUCCUACGGGAGGCAGCAUG